rnacentral:rRNA from 1 species
UGAGUUUGAUCCUGGCUCAGAUUGAACGCUGGCGGCAUGCCUUACACAUGCAAGUCGAACGGCAGCACGGGUGCUUGCACCUGGUGGCGAGUGGCGAACGGGUGAGUAAUACAUCGGAACAUGUCCUGUAGUGGGGGAUAGCCCGGCGAAAGCCGGAUUAAUACCGCAUACGAUCUACGGAUGAAAGCGGGGGACCUUCGGGCCUCGCGCUAUAGGGUUGGCCGAUGGCUGAUUAGCUAGUUGGUGGGGUAAAGGCCUACCAAGGCGACGAUCAGUAGCUGGUCUGAGAGGACGACCAGCCACACUGGGACUGAGAUACGGCCCAGACUCCUACGGGAGGCAGCAGUGGGGAAUUUUGGACAAUGGGCGAAAGCCUGAUCCAGCAAUGCCGCGUGUGUGAAGAAGGCCUUCGGGUUGUAAAGCACUUUUGUCCGGAAAGAAAUCCUUGGCUCUAAUACAGUCGGGGGAUGACGGUACCGGAAGAAUAAGCACCGGCUAACUACGUGCCAGCAGCCGCGGUAAUACGUAGGGUGCGAGCGUUAAUCGGAAUUACUGGGCGUAAAGCGUGCGCAGGCGGUUUGCUAAGACCGAUGUGAAAUCCCCGGGCUCAACCUGGGAACUGCAUUGGUGACUGGCAGGCUAGAGUAUGGCAGAGGGGGGUAGAAUUCCACGUGUAGCAGUGAAAUGCGUAGAGAUGUGGAGGAAUACCGAUGGCGAAGGCAGCCCCCUGGGCCAAUACUGACGCUCAUGCACGAAAGCGUGGGGAGCAAACAGGAUUAGAUACCCUGGUAGUCCACGCCCUAAACGAUGUCAACUAGUUGUUGGGGAUUCAUUUCCUUAGUAACGUAGCUAACGCGUAAAGUUGACCGCCUGGGGAGUACGGUCGCAAGAUUAAAACUCAAAGGAAUUGACGGGGACCCGCACAAGCGGUGGAUGAUGUGGAUUAAUUCGAUGCAACGCGAAAAACCUUACCUACCCUUGACAUGGUCGGAAUCCUGCUGAGAGGCGGGAGUGCUCGAAAGAGAACCGGCGCACAGGUGCUGCAUGGCUGUCGUCAGCUCGUGUCGUGAGAUGUUGGGUUAAGUCCCGCAACGAGCGCAACCCUUGUCCUUAGUUGCUACGCAAGAGCACUCUAAGGAGACUGCCGGUGACAAACCGGAGGAAGGUGGGGAUGACGUCAAGUCCUCAUGGCCCUUAUGGGUAGGGCUUCACACGUCAUACAAUGGUCGGAACAGAGGGUUGCCAACCCGCGAGGGGGAGCUAAUCCCAGAAAACCGAUCGUAGUCCGGAUUGCACUCUGCAACUCGAGUGCAUGAAGCUGGAAUCGCUAGUAAUCGCGGAUCAGCAUGCCGCGGUGAAUACGUUCCCGGGUCUUGUACACACCGCCCGUCACACCAUGGGAGUGGGUUUUACCAGAAGUUGCUAGUCUAACCGCAAGGAGGACGGUCACCUCGGUAGGAUUCAUGACUGGGGUGAAGUCGUAACAAGGU